GCGUCGGUGGUACAGCGGUAGUGUGCUCGCCUACAACGCAGGUGGUUUGGGGUUCGAUCCUCAGCCAACGCA
rnacentral:tRNA from 1 species